UGUAGUUCAGACGUGUCCUCUUUGGAAACUUUAAUUAAAGAAAAUAAUUUGAUCUUUAAUUUAAAAUUAAUAGAAUAAAUUACCUUAGGGAUAACAGCGUUAUAUUUCUUUAUAGAUCUUGUAGAAGAUUGCGACCUCGAUGUUGAAUUAAGAUAAA